GCGGAAGUGGCGAAAUUGGUAGACGCACCAGAUUUAGGUUCUGGCGCCGCGAGGCGGAAGAGUUCAAGUCUCUUCUUCCGCACCA
rnacentral:tRNA from 1 species